ACAUGACAAAGAUACUUUUUUUUUUUUUUUUUUUUUUGUAGUUAAGCAUACAUUUCAUUCAAUGGUCAGAAGUGAAGAAAAAGCAUAUAGACCCAAUUAUAAAACCCUGGGUCUUGGACUUGCAUAGUCAAAACAGAUUACUUUUAUUGUAAACUAAUGAGAAUUGAAAGUUCUAGACUUAUAUGGAGGAAGGGAUAAAUAAAGGAGAAGUAAGUUCUCACGCUGCCACUGAAAUCUACAACUACAAUGAAGUUACACAAUUUUCAGGAGUCUGUGGGUUUGAAAGUUUGUUGUAUUGCAUUAACCUGCUGUAGCAGAUCAGUAACGUGAUAUGGUGUAAACCUGAUAUUCACAGCUAUCAAUAAUGCAUUUUCAGACUGCAACGCUUUAUAAAAACAGAAUUAUUCUUUCUCAAAAGAAAACUAAUUUUAAUAUUGAAUCCUCAAUAAGGUAAUAAAAAGUUGUAAAAAGACUUUUAAAGACAUUAGCAUUAAUGUGUGAUCACCAUAUCUUCUCCAAGUUUUAUUUGUAGAUGAUUUCAGUCUUUUUAUAAAGUCUCUUAGAUCUCUUUCAAGCUUCUUAAUGAAAACCAAACAAUAAGAACAGGUUACCACUAAUAUAAAUAUCUGAUUCAAUAACUAGGUUGGUCAAAACAUAUUAAGGUGCAAUCUCUAAAGGCAUUUCAGAAAUUCUCCUAUUGCAGUGGAAAUGUCCUUUCAGCAGGACAAGAGAUGGGGCAUUUAAUUUUAUGUUUAAUAUUAGAAUCUUUUUAUUUUGUGUUUAAUGUUAGAAGACAACACAUGAUCAGUUUCCACUUUAUAAAUGAGUGAGAUCUCAUAAUUCCAUUUAAUACUCAAGUUAGUAGUUUUCUUCAUCCCGAUUUGGCUUUACUUUUUUCUGCAGUUAUCAUAAUUCUUGAUGUACAAAAAUGGCAAAUAGUAUGUUCUUUAAUACCCUAUUACAGCUGUUCCUGGUUUUAUUGGUAAGGUAUAGUGAAUGUUACUGGUGUGUUAAAAAUGUUAGUGAUAGAUCCAGUAGGAAUAUACUUAAACAUCAAAUAUGAGCAAGAAAGUAGCAAACUUUGCAAUAGUUACUAGUCAGACCAUAAUCUUUUACUCCUGUGUGUAGAUCACACAGCACCUCAGGAAAAUAGUAUGUUAUUUCAUUACAGAUUUUAUUAUAUUUCACAGAAACCAUGGCUCAAAAUAAAGCUAAUAAUCAGAAUAGGAUUGAUCUAGAUGAUGAGGAACUGAGAAAGAACCACUGUAACUUGAGUGAAUUUAGACACAACUAGAAGCAACUGAAGAAUGCUUAAGAAGAAAGCAUCACUACAAUUAUUUUUAAACAUUAUGCAUUUUUUUUCCAUCAUUUGAGUAAGACGGAGUGUUUAGAAGAUGGAGUUUUCUAUGACCUCCUACUGGGAAUAGUCUCAUGCAAAGCUGCCUAGUGCUUUAUGAAGUAUAUAAAUAGGGUGACAAGUUACAGCUAAAUUUAAAAGAGGAGAUGUCAACUUCAGCAUAAUGCUUUAGAUCUCAUUACUUACAAGAUUUUUAUGUGAUACAUCUACAGCUAAGAUCAAUGGAAAUUGAAAGUUGCCUCAUUAUAGAAGAGAAAUUGCUGUUGGUAUAUCAUUUUUCAUUAAAAUCUCCCUAAACUGGAGUGUGUAUCCUUCCCAACUGUUUUGCCAGAAAAUUUAUGACACUCCAUUUGAGCUAUGAUAAUUGUUAUUUUUUGUACAUAAGGACUUGUGUUUAAAAUUAAAAAAAAAAAGUUAACACGUUUCUAUAGCACUCUUCAUUGCUCUAUUCAGUAUUUAAUAGUUAUAAUUACUCAAAAAAAAAAAAAAAAAAAAGACAAUUGGAGUUUAUAGUUAAAAUUGCAGAUGAUUUGACCUGAAGGCUUACAUGAAGAUUGUCCACAUAUGAUAAAGAGUACAAGAAAGUUACAUUAUACAUAGAUUUUUAACAGACAAGCCUGUGUAAACAUAAUUUCUCCAGUACUCAAGUCUGAAGUGCUGAUCAGUUUUCCCAUUUCUAACAAACUGAUAGAUGUUGGCACCAGGUCAGCUUAUAUUUUUAUACGUGCUAAAGAACAAGACUAUAAGUGUGCCUGGAGCACUGCAUACAAAUACAUUUAUAAAUAAAAAAAAAUCUGUAAGUAUAAAACGUUUACCAGUUUUUACUGCUUGACAGCACAAGAUUCUUUUCAGCAUUUGCUAAAUGAAUUUUCUCACCUUCUCUGUUCCUAAAAUAAACUGCUCUUUACACCUUACUACACACUCUUCACUUUUCUUAAAUAGUUUCACACAGUGCUGCCUAUGUUUGCUGUCUUUGUCUGCUGGCGUGUAAGUCAAGUUCUUUUCUCACUGUGUCCAGUCAUUAAGAUGACUGCUACAUCAUCUGAUAAAACCCUACUUUUCAUUAUGGGUAUUUCUUCAAGUAGGAUGCAUCACUAACCUUUGUAGUUUGUAAUCUCCCAUUUAAUUGUCCUUGUUUCCAAGAUUUCUUGCACUGGAACUCUGAACCUACCUAAUUUCCAUGUUUAUAUUACCAUAAAUGCCUAACAGCUCUAACCUGCUCGCCUUGCAGUCUGUCUAUAUUUACUUUUAUCUGUGGUAUCUCAUUAACAGCACAGACCACAAAAGCUCAGUGAUAAGGAGAUGAUUCAUAGAAAGCAGCUAUAACAAUGGGACUUUGUGUUUGAUUAACACAGAUCUUGUGUUUGAUCAACACAGAAGAUGUCUUCAAGAUAAAGUAAUAUUUACCCGUAAACUCCUGAUCCCUCAAGUUGCUUCAGGAUGACUGAACUAAACCUUUAUGCCAAUUUGUUUAGAUUACUCUGUAUUAUGAAUCUGAUGAUUGCAGAUACAAAGUUUGAUGCUGGAAAAAAAGAAGUAAUGAGACAUUACAGUACUGCCAACUUGCUGGGAAGAAAUUGGUGGUCUUCAGACUGCAAAGAAAGUCUUCCUAUGUGCAAAGAUGUCUUCCUAUGUGCUGGAGAUUAAAAGAGAUCCCUCCCUACAACUCUUUUCUUUUCCAAUCCCAGGCCCAUGGGAGAGCUUUGCAAUAGCAAGAAACUGGCUCCUCCAACCACAGUUUCUGGGACACUGAUAGGUUGGUACAUGAGAACCUUAAGUGGAGCUGCACAUGAAUUAAAAAUACACUGCUGACGUCAGUUUUGCACUCUUCAAUAGAUUUACAUUUUAUUAGAGGGACACCACAAUCUCAUCUCCCAUGAAUUCACAGCGGAAUUAUAACCUGAAAGCAUCAGCUCAUUAGCUCUGGGAAGUACAGAAUAAUCAGAGCACAGCAGGCAUCAGCGAUGAAUCCUACCUCUUUCACAGCCAGCCUCUGACAUGCUCUGAUGGCCAGCAAGAGGACACUGAGCAGCAACGGUACAUCAGCAAGUCAUCCUUCUCUGAAAGGGGACAUGCUUUUAGGUAAUUCUUCUUUAUGCCCUUAGAAUAUAAUAAACCAGCAAAGCAGCAAUAGGUGCAGCGAUAGGUGCAGUGAGACGACGGAAGGUUAGAAGUCCAGAAGCUGAAAUGAUACAACAGAACUCUGAAUGGGAGAUGCAGCUGGAAAUGCUGGCUGUGCACUGUGGUAGACAAAGAGAAUGAAAUUGUGACAAGUUAUGUAGCAGUCUUAGGAAAUACAUCGAUAGGGGUAUAAAAAGCAAGACCAGAGCCAGAAUGCAGAGGAAGCGGGUCAGUAAAACAGAAUGCAUGUGACAAAGAAAUAGAAAGAAUUAGAUCAGAAGGAAGGACACACACAUCAUAAGGAGUGAAGUAAGAGAAAUGAGAAACUAUCUCUGGGGUAGAGGAAAGAAGACUUAUAUGGUCAAGAGACAACAAAGAAAAGAAAAAUGAAUGAGCAAAAAUGAAGGAGUAGAAUACAAGUCACACUUUUCCAGAAGAAGAAAGGCGAGAAAAAGGCCGAGGAGAAAAAGCAAAGCAAUUAAUAAAAGGAAUGAGACAGUAGGGAUGAAGAGAAGGACAUGAAAGGGAUAUAAAAUGGCAAAAGGCACACACACUGGAGGAAACAAGUGCUCUUUUAUUUAUUCAUACUUCUGUACUUUAUGUCAUCUUCCUAGCAGGCAUCGCACAGCUCCACAGAUUUAUUUAUUUAUUUAUUUACUGGGGGGCAGGGGGAAGAAGAAGGGAUGAGUUGGCAUCACAUUGUUGAGGGAUUUACUACAGCUCUUUUUCUUCUUGUACUGCUGGACGUGUAUUUAUAGAAAUUACCUGAGAUAGUGGCUGGCACUUCUUCAGAAAUGUCAAUAUCUGAUUUGGGAUAAAGAGGAAAAUUUAUUAAAAAAAAAAAUCAUAGAAGAUACAGGUGUAUGGAAGUGCUUGGUGCCAGUUUCUCAGAAGUUACUUGCACCUUGUAAGUAUUCAGCUCCUACACAUCAUCAAACACUUUCUGCUAUGUGAAUGACAUCUGAAAUAUGAAACACUUAUGAUGUGCCAUUCCUGUAUAAAGCGUUAAUACAGGACUAAUGCUGCCUGAUGAAAUAGUUAAAAUAAUCUACAAGGAAAUGAAAAAGGCAUCCAUUUUUAAAAUGAUCUAAACCAAUUCUCCUAUUGCUUAGAUAUUUUGUUGGAAUUUUUAAGGUUUUAAAGAAUCAAAAAGGGAAGUAUGUAAAAUGUUUACUCUUUUUCUUUACCUGUUUCUUGCACAAUGGUCUGCCAAAAGAGAGACAAUUCUGUGAAAGUAACGGCAACAUGUCAAAAUGUUCUGCAUCGUGCUGUUAGUCAUUACAACAACAGUAAUAAGCACAUGGAGUAUUGUGAUGAAAACAAUUGUUGAAAUUAGCUUGGCCAGCUGUAGUAGCCUACUAGUAUUCAUUGACAGUAAUUUUUUUUAUUAAUUUCUAUGACUGCUUCUAUCUGUCUGUAGGGCAGUUUUACAAUGCCCAGAGCAGGGCUGCCAGAUUGCUGUUUCCUCCACAUCCUGGGUUUAUAUUGUAUUUCUUUUUUCCUUCAGCAAGUAUUUGCUCUUGAUGCUUAAUUCAGAAGCUUCUUGCUUCUGUGCUGGGAAUACAAAUAUGGAAUUGGUUCUCCAAUUAGCAAACAUUUUCAGUUGCAAAACUAUCAAAUCAAUACCAUACUCUCAGCAAUCAUUUCCUUUACAUGUGUCAUUUUUUUUCACAAGAGCACUCAAUGCCCUUUUUUUCCCUUUGCUUCUUUUUUUCUUUUUUUUGUUGUGUGUGUGUGUGUGUGUGUGUGUGUGUGUGCGCUAAUUAACUGCCUGUCUGUCUUGUCUAAGAUGCAGAGUUUAAUUCCAAAAUGAAAGACUUCUGAAAAAUCCAAGGAAGUUCUAUUUCAAAAAUAAAUAUGCUGCCCUUUCCUUAUGACAGUUUUCUUAUGUAAAUAGAAACUCAAAGACAAGAAAUCAUUGCUCUGGCGGAAUUAUACUCUCCCAUACUGAACCACUUGUAACAAAUGCAAUAGAUACCAGCAAUUAUAUUGAUAUGUAAUUACUGUGGUUAUUUAUAGUUAAAUGAAAACUCUGUUAAGUGACACCUGUAUCAGAAAACAUUCUUAUGGAUUUUGAUAGAUCUUUUAUUUGUUCCCUUAGUUAGAAUGUAUCUUAAUUUACUUGAAUAUGAGGGUACUAUCUUUUUGUUCUUUUAUAGUCUUGAUGUAAUGUCUGGCUGUUAUUUUCAUUCCAGAAAUAGCACAAUAUAGCAUGAAAAUUGCUUAAGCCUUUUGCUGAUGGUUUAAUUAAUAGGUACGAAUGUCACAUUUUGCAGUUUCCAGAUCCGUUUAAUUGAAAUAAAGGUGCUAAGCUGAAUUUUCAUACUGACUUUGCACUGGCAUUUGAUCACAUGGAUUCAUGAAAGACAAAUCCAUUAAAGAAUUACUAAAUGCAUGGACAUGCCUAGAAAUGCAACUAACUUAGAGAGUAGUAACCAAUCUGCAGUCUUGAAGACUAAUAGAGGGAAUGGACACGGACAGAUUGUUCUCUGUCUGAUGAUAGCAUAUCAAAGAACUGGCUUAACAGAUUGUGCUGUCUGGUCAAGUUCCUGAGAUAACUUAAUGUACUACUAUGUGUUUUUGGCAGGAUGAUCUCUUCCACAGCAAUGAGCUAUGCUUGGAAAGAACCCCCUUAGUACUAUUGCCAGUAUCUCUAUUUUUCUCAUUGUGUUCUGUAAGUUUUGCAGUGCUCUUCCUCAUUCUUGGACAAUCAAUGAGAACAACUUGGGUCAGAUUUACAGAUUCGUGAUGGAUGAUAUUUUCAAAAGUAAACUACAUGGACAGUACACUUAAUUCUAAUUAAAAUCACUGGCCUAAAUACGGGACUGCUGAUGCUUCUAUCAGAGUUCAUUUGCAUCUUCACACACACAAACAUCUCUUUAGAUCUAAUCUUUCAUUUAUACUUUCCUAGACGCACAUCCUCCAUGAUCUAAAGGAUAUAGUGAAAUGUCCUGCACAAUCUUUGAACCACAUAUAAAGAGUAGCAGAGGAUUCAACAAAGCUUCCUAUUCUGUGGCUAGUUGCAUCUCAUUUAGACACACUGAUCUCUGAGAUAAAAACUUUUUUGUAGCUCAGGCAUCUUUUGCAUCUUCUGGCUUUGCUACCUCAGGAACACACCAACAAUCAGGAAAACACGGUAAAGGAUGGGAUAAUCAAGAUUUCAUACCUAAACCAUGGUGUUGGAAAAAUAUUCUAUAUUAUCUCAAGAGGUGUAGCUACAACAUUCUUGUCACUUGAAACAGUCCUUCCCCAAAUCACAGAAUGGCCUAACAGUUCAUUUAUGACAUGGUAACUGAACCACAGGCAUACCUCAGCAUUUGGGGAUAAAAAUCACAUAGUGAGAAGCUCAGCAGAAAGAUUUUAACCAAAUUCAUUUUGUGAUUACAAAAAUACACUAUUUUACCUUCCUGGAAAUUAAUAUGAAUGUCUGUUUCUAGUGGAUUUACAGCUCUAAGAAACUCAAACUGCACAUAUUAUUUUGGUAUUGGUUUAAUUAUUUCUUCAUCACUAGUCACUCCAUGUUCUCUAUUUGUUAACAGUCACCAAUCAACACAUCAGGUAACUGCAGUCCAUGAUCAUAAUCACUAUCACCAUUCCAUCACAAUAUAAGCAACUUUAACUGCUUUCAUUCCAAGGACACCUGAAGGGAGUUCUUUAAUGUCCCUAUGUAUCCUCAUUUAGUUAAACUACAGCAUUUUGAGAUAAUUGUGUAGAAACUAAAGAGCCAUAAUCAGCACUUUCUUAGAUGUCUGAAUCUAUUUUUUUCCCUUUUUGUAGGAAGGUGAUUAAUGAAUUGUUGACAGUAAUAAAGAAGCAGACAUCUUGGAGAUAUUAUUAUGGAUCACAUAUAACUUGAAACACCGAGUCUGCCUCCGUAAAACAUUUUAUUUGUUAUAUUGUGCAAAUCGAUUGUAAUUUGCUACUGGCUUCUUUUCAAAUACAUUUCUUCAGUGCUGCUGUGGUAAAUAAUAAAUCACACUAACUAUUAUUUCAAAAUUGAGUGUUCCAAUUUAGUUAUGAAUGGAGAAAGUAAAGAUGCUUCGGGAUAUGAAAUCCUAUAGCAGUUCAGAGAAAAAUAGCUUUUUAAGGGCAACCACAUCAAAAAUCAUUAACAGACUACACUGUACUAGCAUGCAUGCUUUUGUGAGUGUAGGAAGCCUAACAAAACACUGAGAAGGUUAUGCUAAACUAAAUAUUUUGUUUACCUGCCUUUUGUCCCCCACCAAAAAAAAAAAAAAGACCUCCCUGACAAAAAAUAAAAGUAAAAAGAAAUAAGGAAAAAAAAAAGAAAGCAUGAUGCACCAAGAAGCAUAAGUUAAAAUUUAAAGAGAGGAAUAUGGGAACAACACAAACACAUGCAGAAACAUACUGCACAUGCUGAAAGAUACUGGAAUAUACAAAGAGUUGAACAAAGAACAGAUAUCCACCUGGUCAUUAGCAGAUUAAAAACAAAGAAUGUCAUUUUAUUUGGUAAACAAAUUAAUUUGCCAAAAACCUUUGACCAUCUUAAGUCAGUGGGUGUACACUAUGACUUCAGUUGGAUCUACAUUUCAUCUCUGCUAUAGCUCCAACUUUACAAUCUA